CCUACGGGUGGCUGCAGUGGGGAAUAUUGGACAAUGGGGGCAACCCUGAUCCAGCCAUGCCGCGUGUGUGAAGAAGGCCUUCGGGUUGUAAAGCACUUUUGUCCGGAAAGAAAUCUUCCAACUUAAUACGUUGGGAGGAUGACGGUACCGGAAGAAUAAGCACCGGCUAACUUCGUGCCAGCAGCCGCGGUAAUACGAAGGGUGCAAGCGUUACUCGGAAUUACUGGGCGUAAAGCGUGCGUAGGCGGUUCGUUAAGUCUGACGUGAAAUCCCCG
rnacentral:rRNA from 1 species